AUUGAACGCUGGCGGCAGGCUUAACACAUGCAAGUCGAGCGGGGGAAGGUAGCUUGCUACUGGACCUAGCGGCGGACGGGUGAGUAAUGCUUAGGAAUCUGCCUAUUAGUGGGGGACAACAUCUCGAAAGGGAUGCUAAUACCGCAUACGUCCUACGGGAGAAAGCAGGGGAUCUUCGGACCUUGCGCUAAUAGAUGAGCUUAAGUCGGAUUAGCUAGUUGGUGGGGUAAAGGCCUACCAAGGCGACGAUCUGUAGCGGGUCUGAGAGGAUGAUCCGCCACACUGGGACUGAGACACGGCCCAGACUCCUACGGGAGGCAGCAGUGAGGAAUAUUGGACAAUGGGGGGAACCCUGAUCCAGCCAUGCCGCGUGUGUGAAGAAGGCCUUAUGGUUGUAAAGCACUUUAAGCGAGGAGGAGGCUACUCUAGUUAAUACCUAGGGAUAGUGGACGUUACUCGCAGAAUAAGCACCGGCUAACUCUGUGCCAGCCGCCGCCGUAA
rnacentral:rRNA from 1 species